AAUUUUUUUUUGUCUUCUUAUUUUAACCAAAUUGUGACUACACGUAAUUCUUGUAAAAAAUAAAAAAAGGUUUAAUUAUGUCCUGACUUUGUUCCAGCAGUACUUGGACUUUUCUUCUGUUUUUCAGUUUUACAGCUCAGCUCUGUAUGAGUUUAUUUUUGUUGUGUGUCUCUGAUACUCCAUCAUAUGUAGAUAAAAUAUACAAUUUUACUUUAAUUUGGUUAUAUUACUCCUGUUUUAAAAUAAUUCUGUAUAGAAAACUAAUCCUCAAAUUACCCUGUAAACACCUAAACCAUCCAUACAAAGAUAUGAUAGUGUGAAAGAAAAAGUUGAUCUGUUUUCCUCUUUCAGUGUUUUAAAUUUCAUAUUUUUUUUAUUCAAGGGUAUAAAUUUAACCUUCAUUGUAGCUCCACCUCAUGAAAUCACACACAUUUGUCUCACAGGUUGUAUAAAACCGCUCAUAUAUGGUUCUGCAGUAAUCCUCACUGUUUCCAUGACUGUCAAAAGUGAUUUCAUCAUGGUUCUGGAUUAACUCUCUGAUGAUGAACUUUACUGCUCAGCACCUGAAGUUUGAUGUUUUAACACAACAUGCACUGUAUCAGCCAGAGACCUGCCUCAGUGUCCUCACAGGAGAUUUUGUACAUUGAGUUUCAGUCUCUGGUGUUUUUUUUUUUUUAAUGUUCAUUUUGAUGUUUUAAGAUUCACUUUUUUAUCUGUGCUGUUUGUAUGACAAGAAAUGGAAAUAUAUUUGCACA